rnacentral:rRNA from 1 species
CUACGGGCGGCACCAGUGGGGAAUAUUGCACAAUGGGCGCAAGCCUGAUGCAGCCAUGCCGCGUGUAUGAAGAAGGCCUUCGGGUUGUAAAGUACUUUCAGCGGGGAGGAAGGGAGUAAAGUUAAUACCUUUGCUCAUUGACGUUACCCGCAGAAGAAGCACCGGCCAACUCCGUGCCAGCAGCCGCGGUAAUACGGAGGGUGCAAGCGUUAAUCGGAAUUACUGGGCGUAAAGCGCACGCAGGCGGUUUGUCAAGUCAGAUGUGAAAUCCCCGGGCUCAACCUGGGAACUGCAUCUGAUACUGGCAAGCUUGAGUCUCGUAGAGGGGGGUAGAAUUCCAGGUGUAGCGGUGAAAUGCGUAGAGAUCUGGAGGAAUACCGGUGGCGAAGGCGGCCCCCUGGACGAAGACUGACGCUCAGGUGCGAAAGCGUGGGGAGCAAACAGGAUUAGAUACCCUCGUAGUC